CGGAUCAACCCGGGAUCCGAUUCAAACCGCUCUGAAUCCGAGAGAGAGAGGGAGGGGGAGGGAAGGGGAGAGCAUCUGCCAUGGAUUCGAAGAAGAGGAGAAAGAUAUUGGAUAAGAAGAAGGCGAUUCGCGAAGUUAUAAACAGAGCUUCGUCCUUCGCCGAUCCCCUAUCUUCGCUUCCUUCCUUCCGCCGUUACAGCAGAAACGGUUUAUCUGUGUUCUUGGAAUCUGACCGGGGCGAUAAGCUUUCCUCAUCAGUAAGGCAAUACAUCCGAAUGCUGUUGAGGAUGAACAUGGCUGGGUUCCAUGGAUCUGAUUGGAGGAUACAUGAGAAGGUGAAGCACCGGGAGAUGGUUUCCCCUGACGCACGUUAUAUAUUUGUGAGAGAACUGCUAAAUGGUAGAAUCAAUGAGGUUUCUAAAGGAAAAGGCAUGGAAGUGUGUGAUCAGAUGGCUGGGUUUGUGCAUUACCGGUUUACUUUGGAAGAAGAGAUGCCUGUCCUUUACGUGUAUGAGAUACAGCUAGAAUCCCGAGUCCAAGGAAAGGGAUUGGGAGAGUUCUUAAUGCAGUUGGUUGAGCUCAUUGCUUGCAAGAAUCGGAUGGGCGCUGUGGUGCUAACUGUUCAAAAAUCUAACUCGUUAGCGAUGACCUUCUACAUGAGCAAGCUAAGAUACAAAAUAUCAAGCAUUUCACCGUCAAAAGUUAAUCCACCAAAUGGGGCCUGUGAGAGCUAUGAAAUACUUUGCAAGACUUUUGAUCCUGAAGCUCGAUCUGUUCUGGAGGAUGAUGAUGAUGAUCAUGAUCAUGAUCAUGAUGGUAGAACAUCCUGCAAGAAACAUCAGGUUUUCCGGACGAAGAAGGGAAACAACGAGAGAGAUGCCGUGAGAAAAGAGAGAUAAGUCGAAGGAACAAACUCGAUUACUCCCAGAUCUCGCCUUUUGGCACCGGAGAUAAAGACGACAAUCCCGACCGAAUUCAAGAAUCUGUCCUUAAGAGUGUCGUGGGAGUCGUCGUACAAACCAGCCGAGGUAUGUCCCAUUUAUAUAAUCUUUGUUCUCGUUAUAUAUUACCAACCAAAAAUCAAAUUUGAUUUGACCCAAAAAUAUCAUACGGAAAGUUGAAAAACCUAUGGACCAUUUAUUUAUUUUAUUCGACCAGCGAAUUGUCAAAAUUGGGUAGAAAAGCUUAUUAUAUAAUAAUUAAAUAUAAUGAUGUAAAAGGUUAGAGAAAACAGAAAUAUCUAUGAUGGAUUUUGGUAUGAGGUCUAAAUCUCGGGCUAAUCAUCUCCUCUUUGGACCGACGAUAUAUUUUGUUUCAUAGACAAAAUUAAUCGUUACCUAAUUAAAUGUGAAUAUUUGAUAUAUAAUUUAUUAAAUUAAAAAUGUUUUA